CAGAGCCCCUUCACUUUGCCAUUUAGAUCUUUUGUGUCUAUUUUGGUUAUUCAAGGGGGCUAAAUGAAACCUCCUCCUAAAACCCAAGUCAGUUCUUAAUAUGUUUGGCUUGUGUCCUGUCAGAGGAGACAUCA